CAUCAAUCAUUAAUCAACUAGUUUCCUCUAUAACCUGUCCGGGUAACCUAUUAAUUUGAAACUGUGGUUUAGGUCUCGUGUUGUGUGUCCCUUACGUGUUCUCGUUCGUAGAACUUUCAUUGUUUUUGGAACUUGGUAACCUGUGCUACUUCCGUCAUUAGUGAUUUACAGUGGCUUUCUCGGUAAUGGUACAGGGGGGUGGAAUCAAGGAAGAAGAAAGAGGAGAGGGAGAAGGGGGGUGUGGAUGGGUGCGAGUUUUGCAGAUUUGCUGGUAUGUAGUAGCAGGGAACUACAGACGUUGGUUGUCUUCUGCCACCAUCCUUCUGUUAGUUUGUCAGUGCCUAUCUGUCCUGUGUGGUAUGGGUGUCUUAGGUGAGCUAUAGAUGGCAAAUUACCAUCACUAUGGCUUUUUUUUUUGUUCCUGUCUUCUGUCAUUCCGUCCUGUCUUUCAAAGAGACAUCUCGGGACUAUGAUAUUAUGUCUAGGCUCCACAGUGUAGCGGUAUAGGUUUCCCACUGAGUUUUGACUGUCUGAAAAAGUGGUAGGGUUCUGUGGUGUUUUCUGGCCAUGUGUUCGUACGCUAAAUUUGUAGAUAUUUGUCAUAUCAAUGCUUGUUUUGACGGUGCAUCUGGAGAUUUCCUGGCUCUAGCAAGUAGAGACUGGGCCGCCACCAGAACACGGAAUAUAAAGAUUGCCUCUCCUUUAUGGAAUUUAUCAAUGUUCAGGAGUAAGAGGCUCAAUUCUGGCGUAAGUGUGAUAUCGUGGUGUGUGGCCUGUGAUAGUUGCAUAUAAUUUUUUACAUCAACAUACUUAAA